GUGAAUCAUCAAAUUUUUGAACGCAAAUUGCACUUUCUGGUAUUCCGGAAAGUAUGCCUGUUUGAGGGUCAGUUAAAUAAAAAUCGGUGUUGUUGCUGCCGUUCGUGGUGACGCGUCGGAAUUGGGGCGUCUUACCUUCGGUUAAGUGACUUAAAAUUUUUGCAUGAUUUUCGAACGUAGUUAAAUCGCGUACGUAGGUUUGAGAUAGUGAAUGCUUUAUUAGGGUAGGGCAUGUUCAGGUGUCG
rnacentral:misc_RNA from 1 species